CAACUAGUUGUUGGUGGAGUAAAAUCCAUUAGUAACGCAGCUAACGCGUGAAGUUGACCGCCUGGGGAGUACGGUCGCAAGAUUAAAACUCAAAGGAAUUGACGGGGGCCCGCACAAGCGGUGGAUUAUGUGGAUUAAUUCGAUGCAACGCGAAAAACCUUACCUGGCCUUGACAUGCCACUAACGAAGCAGAGAUGCAUUAGGUGCCCGAAAGGGAAAGUGGACACAGGUGCUGCAUGGCUGUCGUCAG
rnacentral:rRNA from 1 species